CUGUGGAAUAGUUUCAAGGUUCAUUUGUUUUGGAUCACCUGGAGAGUUUCCCUCCUGCAGGGUUUUCCUCUCUAUCAGCAGUGCUUCCAUCUGUGCAGCCCGUCCAGUUUUCCCACCAGAGGAGGAGACAUUUCAGGGGUGGUUAAUCAUUUUUGAUCUAUUCACACUGCAACACAGACACUACUCUCACCUUUCCAUGUUUUAGACAUGCUGUGCUGGAUUCCCUGCUUCUUUCUGGGCUUUUUAUUUUGGGGCUCAGCUCAUGGGGUUCCCCAGACAAACGCCUGCCCCGACAUCACAGACCAGGAGCUGUUCUGGGGUUCUGACCAGUACGACUUUGCUAUAGUGCUCCCUGCUGCUGGGUUGGAGUGUUUCUGGCACUUUGCUCACCGUGGAGAGAGAUUUUACUUGAACUUCAUGCUCAGCAUUUAACAGCAUCAUCUUCUCAAAACUUGCCUCGGAGCUUGUUGACCUUGGGCUGGGAACAUCUAUCUGCAGAUGGAUUCUCUGAUUCCUCACAAACAAGCCCCAGGUGGUGAGAGUUGGAGUGGCUUCUACAGAGGCACGGUGGGUCCGUUACCAGAUCCCUGCUUGUUCAGAAUAACGGAGGCAUAUGCAAAAUUUAAUAUUGAGGACAGGCCACUUGUGACCACAAUGAACAUGAGACCUGACAAGCCCCUUGUGGAAAGUGCUUUUGGGCUGGUGCAGGAGGGCAGAGUUCUGUCAUAUCAGCAGCCGGUUUUGACAACCCGGUACAUCACACUACACCGUGAUGCACCACCAACACCGCACUUGCCUCUGGAGGGGUAUGACAUCUUGCCAUCAGAUUGUGUGUUUGUGUGCUCAGAAGAAGAGCUUCUGCAUCUGAAAAGCUUGUCUGUAACUCUGGAAAUGGCUCACAAAAUAGAGGAAGCUACACGUGAGCAAAGCUCUUCAUCUGAGUGGCAUCAGCUCCGCAGGCCCAGAGUGACUGCCUCUAGGUUUCGGGAGGUGUGUCACGUCAGAGGCCAGAGCUCAGCAGAGUCACUAGCAGAGCGUAUAUUGAAGGGAGCAAGGCAGACAGCAGACAUGAGGAGAGGAACUGAGAUGGAGCCUGCAAUAGCAGCAGAGUAUAGUAGGCUAAUGAAUGUUAACUACUCACCCUGUGGUCUGGUCAUUCACCCCAUUGCCCCCUGGCUUGCUGCAUCUCCUGAUGGUGUUGUUUUUGACCCCAAUGAAUACCCCCAGUUUGGCCUCGUCGAAUUCAAAUGUCCCAAUGUACAAAACUUUAUUGACUGCAAAUAUGUGCAAAUGGAAUGUGGUACCCCUAAACUAAAAAAGAGCCACGCAUAUUACUGGCAAGUGCAAGGACAACUGCUCAUCAGUGGGAUGUAGUGGUGUGACUUUGUUGUGUGGGCAACUACCUAGUGCCAAGAGGACUACCUAGUGCCUAGAAUAUACAUGGAUACAGAUGUGCACAAUGCAAUCAGAGAAAAGGCUGACUACUUCUUUUUUUUUACAUAUAUAUGCCAAGAUACCUGUGUUUGGAAAAAUGAACAGUGAAAACAUAGCAAAAAGGAAAACAGAUUCUUCAGGCUGGCUGGAACAAAAUAACUGAUAUUUUAUUUGCAAUGUAUUUCAUGAUUUUUUUGUUGUUGUUACAUGUUACUUUUAUGUGAAAUCAAUAAACUGUUAUUUAAGCA
ensembl:lncRNA